rnacentral:misc_RNA from 1 species
GUUCAGCCUCUCUAUUCAGAUGGUCUUGAUUGCAUUGGGAAACCGAAGAAAGUACAUUGCCCAAGAUUGGCUGGCAAUUGUCCUUUGGCUUGUUUACCUGUCAGCAGAUUGGAUUGUAAAUGUUUCACUUGCUGUUCCCUCCAAUAUGGAAUCAACCAAUAAAAAAGGAUUUCUGGAUCCAAAAUAUAUGAUAAUGUCAUUUUGGGCACCAUUUCUUCUUCUGCAUCUUGGUGGUCCUGACACCAUUACAGCCCAAGCAAUUGCCUCAUCCAUAAUUCAUUAUCUUCCAUUGAAUAGCUGUCAAGUUUGGGGGGGCAUUUUAUGUCUUACUUAGAUCAUGGAUGGGAAGUCCAUUUAACUUUCUAGCACUUCCAAUGUUCAUAGUUGCAAUCAUCAAGUGUGGGGAGAGGACUUGGGCUCUACAAUUUGCAAGUAGCGACCAGUUCAGGAAAUCCAUGCUUCAUCGGCUUGAUCCAGGACAUAGCUAUGCUAAAUUCAUGGAUGAUUACACUUCAAAAAGAGCUGAGGGGUACAAUCUAUCACUGGAGCCAGUGAUUGAUGAAGCUUCCAUUGUGCUGGGUCAAUCUUGUAAAGCUGUAGAAAACAGCAUUGUCCCUGAUGCUGCAUAUUGCCUUAACACUUUCAAGAGGUUAUUUGCCGAUCUC